AUAAAUACUUCUAACCAGUAGCAUUGUUUUGUUGUACGUUAAGUUAGCGACUUGUGAAGGGUUGUGUUUUGUCGUGUUUGAGCAGUUGGUCCGGACACGUAAGCGGCUAAGUUAGCUAGCGGGCUAAUUAACACAGGUGGCUAACUUACCGCUGAACACCUGUGUUAGUUGCUGCCGCUCACAUGCUCACAGCAUGUUGAAGCAAAACAACCAGAUGAAAACUGUGAUGGUGUUGGAUUGUCAGACCGUAAUGUUGCAGCUCAGAGCAGCUUUUCUAGCUCAGUUCAUUCUGACAUUCAGCUAUGAAUCAACACAGCAGAUGGUGAUCCAUGCUGUGGAAGUCUCACAUCUCCUGAUUUAAUGGAGCUGCUUUGCACUUUUUACACUGUUUAUUCACCAGCACUUUAUUUAAUAAAAGUCCCAUCUAGUUUUUAUGAGGAAUGUGAUGUUUUAAUUUCUCUGUGAAUAACUGCAGUCUAAUGCAACAGCUGGAGUUGUAACAUCUGUCCUGAUAUUGAUCAUGAAGUGUUGAUCAGAAUACUUAUGGUCAGCAGUCAUCCCUGAAGAUUUACAUUAGAAUCUUUGUGUUGUGAACUUUGGUAAGAAGCAGAAACUUCAGCAUUGCCAUGGAUACAUGAGUGUUAAAUUCAGUCCGUGUUUCCAUUUUGGGAAAUGCAGUCCAGCAGAUGAGUUUGUUUUUACUGCCAUCUACCAUUCAGUCUGAGAUAUUAAGAAUACAUAAAUGUGGAAAUGAACAGAUUUUAUUUUUAUUUAUUCCACAGCUGCACGCUACAGGUAAAGUUCCAGAAUGUGGAGGAAUUUAGUCUCACAAUAAAUAUUAUCUGAAAGUCGGGUUAUCGUUGUUUAUUAGCACAAUACAAAAAGAUUCAUGUUAGACAUAUUCCAGUAAAGACUCUAGAAUAUCAUGAUUUAUGUAAAUUUACCUCAAUAAUAUGAAUGUUCAGGUUAAGAUGGUGCAGUGAUAUUUAUUAUGUAAGUUUAACUGAUUAAAGUUUAUGACUGCACUACAGUAUUAUUUAUAUUUACAUCAUUAUUAUAUUUAGGGUCAGACCCUAUAGUAUUGAGAUUAAGAACUCAAAUAUUCUAUAAAAUGUAAAUACACUGAACUCAUUUGGAUAUAUUUAAGUGAGACUCUACAAUAUUAUUUGACACAAAUCCAUCUAAAUCAAAAUUUUAAUCAUUUUUACUCCAAACAUUUACUGAUUUAAAUAUUAAAAUCACUCCUUUCUAAUCCUCUGCUGUACGUUCAAACCUGAGGCCUUAAAUAGAAACACACAAGUAUCUGAUUGAAGGAACUUCUGCAGAGUCCUGGUUCCAGAACAUGAUGAUAGAAUUAUAGACAAACUUUAACAAAAGCUGCCUGAGAGUUGACAGGUUUUUAUGUUAGAUUUUGUUCAGUAGUUUAAUGAGUUAUCAGCAAAAAUCUAAUGUUGAUUUGAUGAACUUCAUUUCCUAAAACAUCCAGAAUUGGCGCUCAUAUCUUUGGCAGCUGUAAAGUUUCUGCUCCUUCAAAGUUCACAACACAAUGAAUGAAUUCCUAAAACACUCUCAAUGCUGGAGAGCGUUUGUGAUGCUGAAGCAGUGAUCAGUUUUUCUGUUUCUUCUCUGGAGAUGCACAAUGAGGGACGUCUGCAGAGACUGAGAAAGAGUCUCACCACAUCCUGACAUGAGGAAAAAGACUUUAUUGAAGACUACAAUGAGAAAAACUAUCAGACAGCAGACGGCUGCAUUCAAGAGAAGAAGACCAUCAAACAUCCAUGUCAGCUGAUGGAGGUCCAAGAGUCUCACCGAACAAACAACCUACAGAGUGAAGACCUCAAAUCUGAUUGGACGGCCUCCUAUUCAGCCACGUGUGAACAAAUGCCUCUAAGUUGAUUUGUUUUCUAAAAUAAAUCUAGUAGGAGUCCUAA